rnacentral:rRNA from 1 species
AUUGAACGCUGGCGGCAUGCCUUACACAUGCAAGUCGAACGGUAACAGGUCUUCGGAUGCUGACGAGUGGCGAACGGGUGAGUAAUACAUCGGAACGUGCCCGAGAGUGGGGGAUAACGAGGCGAAAGCUUUGCUAAUACCGCAUACGAUCUCAGGAUGAAAGCAGGGGACCGCAAGGCCUUGCGCUCACGGAGCGGCCGAUGGCAGAUUAGGUAGGUGGUGGGAUAAAAGCUUACCAAGCCGACGAUCUGUAGCUGGUCUGAGAGGACGACCAGCCACACUGGGACUGAGACACGGCCCAGACUCCUACGGGAGGCAGCAGUGGGGAAUUUUGGACAAUGGGCGCAAUCCUGAUCCAGCCAUGCCGCGUGCAGGAUGAAGGCCUUCGGGUUGUAAACUGCUUUUGUACGGAACGAAAAGACUCCUUCUAAUAAAGGGGGUCCAUGACGGUACCGUAAGAAUAAGCACCGGCUAACUACGUGCCAGCCGCCGCCGUAAAAC